UACGUAGGGUGCAAGCGUUAAUCGGAAUUACUGGGCGUAAAGCGUGCGCAGGCGGUGAUGUAAGACAGGUGUGAAAUCCCCGGGCUCAACCUGGGAAUUGCAUUUGAGACUGCACGGCUAGAGUGUGUCAGAGGGGGGUAGAAUUCCACGUGUAGCAGUGAAAUGCGUAGAUAUGUGGAGGAAUACCGAUGGCGAAGGCAGCCCCCUGGGAUAACACUGACGCUCAUGCACGAAAGCGUGGGGAGCAAACAGG
rnacentral:rRNA from 1 species